rnacentral:rRNA from 1 species
UACAGAGGCCUCGAGCGUUAGGCGGAAUCACUGGGCUUAAAGCGUGUGUAGGUGGAUGCCUAAGUACCUUGUGAAAUCCCACGGCUUAACCGUGGAACUGCUGGGUAUACUGGGUGUCUUGAGCCACUCAGGGGCUACCGGAACAAGCGGUGGAGCGGUGAAAUGCGUAGAUAUCGCUUGGAACGCCAAUGGUGAAAACAGGUAGCUGGGGGUGUGCUGACACUGAGACACGAAAGCCAGGGGAGCGAACGGG